rnacentral:tRNA from 1 species
GCCGCGCGUCGGCCAGGGCGCCCCGCGCAUGGCAGGCGCGGGCAUUGCCGAUCAGGGCCUUCAACUGUUCGAUCUGUUCGGGCGACA